AAAGACAAAAGCCUACCAGCAGCGGAGAGCCUUGCGGAAUGAAUGCAGGGUUGUAAUGCAAACAGUCCUUUCUUUAUGACUCACUGGCCAUCUCUGACCUUGAGGAAGUCAUUUGACCUCUUUUUGCCUCUCUCAGCCCGCUGAAACAUAAAGAACAAGGACCACAAUCUCAUCCUGAUGGUGCAUUCAGCUGAGUUUUCUAUGAGUUAGUGGUUUAUGUUCUUUUAAAAAACAGAUAGAUGUACAAAGAAUGCUUGUGGAAAAGUGAACUGGCCAAAUACACCUCAGGUCUUGAUCUCCUUUCCGCUCAUACAGCAUAUUUAGAAGAAGCUCAAAUGCUUUACGUACUGCAUGCAGAUGGGGGUCAUUUAUCAACUACAAAUGCAACCAUUAAAUGCAAUGAUUAUUUUAUGCCACCAUUACUGCCUAAAAGUUUACAGGAUUAAAAGCACUAUGUCUACUCUGCAGAGAGAAACAAGUCCUAGUCAUUCUAAAGCAGCAAAAUGCUAAGGGUAAGCAUAGUUCUAAGCUUUUCUGGUGAGGGAAUGUUGCAGUGUGAUAAGCAAACCUGAUUUUCCUAAGCAUGGAGAAAUUUUAGAGCUAAUUCUGACAGGAGAAACAGAACCAGAGAGAGAUCUGGGGAUGAUGAGUGGCACUGGGGGAUCUGAUUGCUAAUCCUCCCUCUCUGUGCUAACCAGCUGUAUUAUCUUCACCAAAUCUUACGUAAACUUCAUUGUAUCCGUCUGCAUUUUUGACCUCCUGGGAGUACUGUAAAGCUGUUAAUUACAUGAAUGUAAAAUAGAUGUAGAGUGUUUAUAUUCCCAUUCAGGUACCUGUAGUUUACUAUAGGAGUCUUGGCAGAAGAGCACCAAUGCCUGGAGAGAGUAUUAAAAACUUAGCUCUCCUAGAUACAUCUCAGUCUGGAAAAUGAUGUUUGGCUUCUUACACUGGCAGAAAUUUGCACUGGUACCAUUCCAAUGGCUAUGUGAAGGUCACAAUGACAGUCCCACAGAACAUGACACGUCCAGCAGCAUUGGAACCUUCUAGCAUCCUCAAGCUGUGGUGUAGGUACUACUUCCAAUUACCGUCAGUUGCGUGGUCUUCUUGCUUUGAUAGGACUUUGCUCCUACCUCUCCUGGCUGAGAAAAAUGAAAGUGCAAUAUGAAGAUCAUCUCCAUGUGAAGGUCUUUAUUUUGUAGGAGAUUCCAGAUGCAACUUUAUACAACCUAAUAAAGAGAAGAUGAAGGACUUGAUCAGGGUCUCAAAGUACCAACACAACAAGGUACCUAGGCUUUUCAAGGUAACAUGCGGCUACCAAAUUGAAGCUAAACAAAAAUCAGUAUAGAAAUGUAGUGAUGUUUCCUAAACAAUUAAAGUUAUUAGCCUUAGAAAUAAAAAAGCUGUCAAGGAUCCCUUCUCACUGGUACCUGUCAAGCCUAGAUAAUGUCCUGAAAGAUACUCUGAAAUUCAAAAUUGUUUCAGGGUGGAAUAAAGGAGAAUCCAAACCCCUCAACUGCCAGGAUUUUAGUUAUAACUUCCCAUCAUUGCUCACAACAGCUGUUGGUAAAUGUUAAAGUUGUAGAUGUAUUUUGGCUCCACAGGUGCUUUAAUCUUUGUUUUGCUCAGCCUUGUGCUGAAUAGGGCUAUACAAACUAGCUCACUUAUCUACUGGUACCAGAUCUGUACUGCACCUCUAAAAUGGAGCUGGAUGGCAUAGAUUUGAAUCCACUAAUUAAAAUGUACAAAUCUAGGCUUAACAUUACUCUUGAGAAGAAAAACAGCCAAAUUUUCUAUUUGCUUGCUUAAACAUCAGCAGGCAGUUGGGAAGUGUGAUGGACAGGGCCCCUCCUCUGGAGC